rnacentral:misc_RNA from 1 species
UUUCCGUAGGUGAACCUGCGGAAGGAUCAUUACCAUUAUCCUAUUUUUACAUUCGGGUGGGGUUUCGCACGUGGUCAAACGCGUGCGGCCUCGCCCGUUUCCAACCCUCUUCUCGGGGUGCGAACGUGUUGCUUUUUUCGUCUCGGCGCCUUGGCGCCUUUUUCAUUUUUUUCCAACCCUUACACCAACCGCCUGACAUAUUGAUAUUCCAAAAACCGCGUACAACUCUUAGCAACGGAUAUCUUGGUUCUC